AUGCUCCGGCUACUAGCGGCCAAAGACACGACGAAGAUCGCGUGGGAGAUAAUCAAGACACUCCGCAUGGGGAGCGAGCAUGCUUGCGAGGCCAAGGCGCGAGUGCGCCGCCGCGGGUUUGAGGCGCUCCGCUUCAACAACGGUGAGGCCCUUGAAGUCUUCACGCUGCAGCUCACCGGCCGCGUCGCCGAUCUGGAGCUGUACGACGACCCCGUGAUGGAGCACAAGGCCGUCCAGAAAUUCCUCCGUGUGGUGCCACGUAAGUACCCCCAGAUGGCCAUGGCGAUCGAGUCUCUCAUCGAUCUAAAAACCAUGUUCAUCGAGGAGCUCGCCGGGCGCUUCUCCCCAUGCGAGGACCACCACGACCUCGAAGACGCCACACAAUCCACCGGGCGCCUUCUGCUCACACACGAGGAAUGA
rnacentral:rRNA from 1 species